GUGAGAGAAGCAGGAGCCGUGUAGGGAGGGGCCUGCAGAAAACUGGGAGGCCUGAGAUGAAACGGCUGUCAGCGGGUGGGGCAUUCCUUUCUCCACCCACCCCGUAUUUCUCUGGCGCGCGGGUGUCUGUCCUCCUGGCCCCUGGUUUCCACGUGGCCCAAGGUGGGUUAGCUUAGGGCGACGGUGCUGCGCUCUCAGGGGCUGAGCCCGCGCCUUCAUUCGUCACUGCAGAAUCCAGAAGGAAAGACUACAGCGCCCGUCCUUGUGCGACGGCGUCCUGCAAGCCGACCACAAGCCAGCUCGGGGGUUUAUUGAAUGCCUAUUAAGUGGCCAGAUUGUGCCGGGCCCCGGAGAUCCGAUGGUGAACAUAACAAGUUUCCUUCCAUUUAAGGAAAAAUCGCCUUUGAUCCCUUGUAAUUGCAGCUUUGUUCUUCAUUUCCUGAGUCAAAAGAUUUUUUUUAUCCAAGAAGGGGCCAUCAGUAACUACGCUUCCUCACCUCCCAUCAACUUAAAAAAAUUUUUUUAAACAACUUUUUUUCUCCCAUCAACUUUUAAGAAUUUUAUUUAUUUAUUUUUGAGACAGAGCCUUGCUGUGUCGUUCAGGCUGGAGUGCAAUGGCGUGAUCUCAGCUCACUGCAACCUCCACCUCCCGGGUUCAAGCGAUUCUCCUGCCUCAGCCUCCCGAGUCGCUAGGAUUACAGGCACCCGCCACCAUGCUCGGCUAAUAUUUGCAUUUUUAGUAGAGACGGGGUUUUGCCACGUUGGCCAGGCUGGUCUAGAAUUCCUGGCCUCAAGUGAUCUGCCCGCCUCGGCCUCCCAAAGUGCUGAGAUUACAGGUGUGAGCCACCGGGCCCGGCCUAAUAUAUAUAUAUAUUAAUUAAUGAUUGUAGAAAAAUAAUAGACAAGAACAUUCUUUUCAUUUUUUUUUUUUGAGACGGAGUCUCACUCCGUCGCCCACGCUGGAAUGCAGUGGUGCGAUCUCAGCUCACUGCAAGCUCCGCCUCCCGGGUUCACACCAUUCACCUGCCUCAGCUUCCUGAGUAGCUGGGACUACAGGCGCCUGCCACCACACCCGGCUAAUUUUUUUUUUUUUUUUAAGUAGAGACGGGGUUUCACCGUGUUAGCCAGGAUGGUCUCGAUCUCGUGACCUCAUGAUCCACCCGUCUCGGCCUCCCAAAGUGCUAGGAUUACAGGCGUGAGCCACGGCGCCCGGCCCGUUCUUUUCAUUCUUGUAAUCCAUUCCCAUUUUGCUUUUGCCCCAUUAUUCCACAGAAAUUGCUCUGGACAAGAUCAGCGACACCCAAAGUUGCUAAAUAAAACGGAUACCUCUCAGUCUUUGGCUUCCCAGAACUUUGUGUGGCAUUUAGUAACUGUUGAUUUCUUUUCUUUUCUUUUCUUUUCUUUUCUUUUCUUUUUUUUGAGACGGAGUUUCGCUCUUGUUGCCAAGGCUGGAGUGCAGUGGCGCGAUCUUGGCUCACUGUAACCUCCGCCUCCUGGGUUCAAGUGAUUCUCCUGCCUCAGCCUCCCGUGUAGCUGGGAUUACAGGCAUGCGCCACCACGCCUGGCUAAUUUUUGUUUUUUUUUUUU
rnacentral:lncRNA from 1 species